CCACAGACACUCGGUCCGCAGAAACUCCGUCCCGCGGAUUCUCGGUUCCCAGCGUCUUGCUCAUGAAAGGACAAGGGACCAAAGGCGGUCGUGGCCCAGGAUUUUCUGCCUCCAAGGACUUCUGGACUGGGCUGAGAGUAGCAGCAUGGAAUAAUACUUAUCAUCCAGUGGCAUCACCAGAUCAUAAUCGGAGGACGUGCAGUGACUGUUGGU